GAUGUCGGACACGCACAAGGUCCGACUCGAAUUUCAAAGUGAAAUUAGGGUCGGAUCCUGUCACAUAAGCUGGAGGGGGGAAAUGUUAUUAACAACUUGAGGUACAAGCCUGUUGUUUUUUUUUUAAAAAAAAUUAAGUACGAUAGUUUGGAUGGAGGAAAAUAACAUUCUCGACAUUUGUUUGAAUGAAGGAAAAUAAUUGGGAAUUUAUGACAGGACCCGAUCUAAAUUCCGCUUUGGAAUUCGAGCCAAGUCCUGUGCGUGUCCGACACC
rnacentral:miRNA from 1 species